UAGUCCACACCGUAAACGCUGUCUACUAGCUGUGUGUGAAUUUAAUUCGUGCGUAGCGAAGCUAACGCGCUAAGUAGACCGCCUGGGGAGUACGGCCGCAAGGUUAAAACUCAAAUGAAUUGACGGGGGCCCACACAAGCGGUGGAGCAUGUGGUUUAAUUCGAUGCAACGCGAAGAACCUUACCUACUCUUGACAUACCAGAGAUUUAGCAGAGAUGCUUUAGUGCCUUCGGGAAUCUGGAUACAGGUGCUGCAUGGCUGUCGUCAGCUCGUGCCGUGAGGUGUCGGGUUAAGUCCCUUAACGAGCGCAACCCCUAUUUCUAGUUGCCAGCGGGUAAUGCCGGGGACUCUAGAGAAACUGCCCGUGCAAACGGUGAGGGAAGGUGGGGAUGACGUCAAAUCAUCACGGCCCUUACGUCCUGGGGCUACACACGUGCUACAAUGGUCGGUAC
rnacentral:rRNA from 1 species